rnacentral:rRNA from 1 species
GAACCUGCGGAAGGAUCAUUGUCGAAAUCGAACGGAAGAACGACCCGCGAAUCGUCAUUGCGUACUAGACAGAGCCCGUGAGCACCUAACGCUCAUGGGACUCGCGUCGCGUCGGCGUGGGUGUACUCGAGACCAGCGUCGUACCGGCGGACAAACAACGUCAGCACGGAUCGUGCCAAGGAGCUGCAUGGAGAGAAUCGUCGUCCCACGCCUUUGAUAGUCCUCGAUGCGGGACGGGGGGCGGGGGAUGUACGCAAUCUCUACUAAAGUCUAAACGACUCUCGGCAACGGAUAUCUCGGCUCUUGCAUCGAUGAAGAACGUAGCGAAAUGCGAUACUUGGUGUGAAUUGCAGAAUCCCGCGAACCAUCAAUUCUUUGAACGCAAGUUGCGCCCGAAGCCAUUCGGCCGAGGGCACGCCUGCCUGGGUGUCGUGAAUCCCCUUGCCCCUAGGCACCCGCAUGAGCAUUGGCGGGGAUAUAUGCUCGGGCGCAGAAUAUGGUCUCCCGUGGGAUCGGCAUGCACGGCAUGUCGAGGUGCGGUUGGCCGAAAAUCGAGCAAUGGCUGUGACGGGCACCACGGCGUUCGGUGGAUCGAAUGAGAUUGGCUGCGCCGUGGGCUCGGCAUUAGGCGGGCUCCGGACUUUGA